ensembl:antisense Gm11655 predicted gene 11655
GCACUGAGAACAUUCAGGACAAACUUCUGUUGCUGUGAAGCUGGCACAGAAGAUAAUCCACCCACUGAAGAGCAGAAUUAGCACCGGGGCUUUGGUGUUGGGUUUGUUUCCCUGAAAUAACUUCUUUCUCAGGCUUCCCAUGGCAUCACGGUGAAUCUCUGAAAUGUGAAAUUUUAGGCAACAUCAGCGGUCUUUUUUUUUUCUUUUCUUACAAUGGUUUCUAAGACAUAGGGCUGAACUCAUGGUCACAGUAAGGCAAUGACAACUCGGACUCCUACCCACGGCCAGCGGCUAGCUGCUGUAGGGUUCUGCUUCUGCUCGGCUAUCAUUUGCACCCUGGCUUCCAUGGCUGCUUCCCAGUGUUGACAGGGAUAGAGAGGAGAGUAAAGAGACAAGGGAGGACCGAACAGGAAGAAGAUGGGAGUCUGAGCAUGGAAGGGAAGGGACUGAAACGUGCUGCUCUGAGAGGACUUCAAAACAUGGACAACAGGAUGUCAGCUUUUUAGGAAAGUUGAGAGGAUCUCACAACCUCCCGCCUUUGUAUUAGUCGCUGAAGGAGAUGAGGAGGAGGAGGAGGAGUCACUUCAGCCAGUGACAGAAGACCGAAGGUUUGCCGAAAUCCCCAGAGAAUUCACAGACUGAGCCAAGUGCUAAGGAUCCUUAGAGAGUCAGGAGUGGCUGGGAAGAAAUUCGGAAUCUUUUCCUGUCCCUUGGAAGCCAUCAAAAGAGCUCGAAUAAAGAGGAAUGUGUAUGAAAGU